rnacentral:rRNA from 1 species
CCUACGGGAGGCAGCAGUGGGGAAUAUUGCACAAUGGGGGAAACCCUGAUGCAGCGACGCCGCGUGAGUGAAGAAGUAAUUCGUUAUGUAAAGCUCUAUCAGCAGGGAAGAAAAUGACGGUAACUGAGUAAGAAACCCCGGCUAACUACGUGCCAGCAGCCGCGGGAAUACGUAGGGGGCAAGCGUUAUCCGGAUUUACUGGGUGUAAAGGGAGCGGAGACGGGAGUGCAAGUCUCGAGUGAAAGGCGCGGGCUCAACCCACGGACUGCUCUGGAAACUGUACGGCUGGAGUGCAGGAGAGGUAAGUGGAAUUCCUAGUGUAGCGGUGAAAUGCGUAGAUAUUAGGAGGAACACCAGUGGCGAAGGCGGCUUACUGGACUGUAACUGACGUUGAGGCUCGAAAGCGUGGGGAGCAAACAGGAUUAGAUACCCUUGUAGUC